rnacentral:rRNA from 1 species
UACGAAGGGUGCAAGCGUUACUCGGAAUUACUGGGCGCAAAGCGUGCGUAGGUGGUUCGUUAAGUCUGAUGUGAAAGCCCUGGGCUCAACCUGGGAAUGGCAUUGGAAACUGGCGAUCUAGAGUGCGGUAGAGGGUAGUGGAAUUCCCGGUGUAGCAGUGAAAUGCGUAGAGAUCGGGAGGAACAUCUGUGGCGAAGGCGACUGCCUGGACCAGCACUGACACUGAGGCACGAAAGCGUGGGGAGCAAACAGG